rnacentral:rRNA from 1 species
AUAUUGGACAAUGGGGGCAACCCUGAUCCAGCCAUGCCGCGUGUGUGAAGAAGGUCUUCGGAUUGUAAAGCACUUUAAGUUGGGAGGAAGGGCCUUAGGUUAAUACCCUGAAGUUUUGACGUUACUAACAGAAUAAGCACCGGCUAACUCUGUCCCAGCAGCCGCGGUAAUACAGGGGGUGCAAGGGUUAAACGGAAUUACUGGGCGUAAAGGGGGCGUAGGUGAUUCAGGAAGAUGGGUAAGAAACACGCGGGAUUAAGCUGGGAACUGCUUUAAUAACUGCUGAGCUAGAGUACGGUAGAGGGUGGUGGAAUUUCCUGUGUAGCGAUGAAAUGCGUAGAUAUAGGAAGGAACACCAGUGGCGAAGGCGACUACCUGGGCUGAUACUGACACUGAGGUGAGAAAGCGUGGGGAGCAAG